rnacentral:rRNA from 1 species
GAUGAACGCUGGCGGCGUGCCUAAUACAUGCAAGUCGAGCGAACAGACGAGGAGCUUGCUCCUCUGACGUUAGCGGCGGACGGGUGAGUAACACGUGGAUAACCUACCUAUAAGACUGGGAUAACUUCGGGAAACCGGAGCUAAUACCGGAUAAUAUAUUGAACCGCAUGGUUCAAUAGUGAAAGACGGUUGUGCUGUCACUUAUAGAUGGAUCCGCGCCGCAUUAGCUAGUUGGUAAGGUAACGGCUUACCAAGGCAACGAUGCGUAGCCGACCUGAGAGGGGGAUCGGCCACACUGGAACUGAGACACGGUCCAGGCGCCUACGGGAGGCAGCAGUAGGGAAUCUUCCGCAAUGGGCGAAAGCUUGACGGAGCAACGCCGCGUGAGUGAUGAAGGUCUUCGGAUCGUAAAACUCUGUUAUUAGGGAAGAACAAAUGUGUAAGUAACUAUGCACGUCUUGACGGUACCUAAUCAGAAAGCCACGGCUAACUACGUG